UCCGGGGAGCAAAGGAGAUGGAGAGGACUCCAGGAGCCAGUCACCAGCUACACAGCCAGUCAUGGAGUAAGAAGUAAAGUAAGUGCAGCUCAUCCCUCAAACUGUGAGUUUUGGCUGAUGUGGAAGUGUGAGGAUACGGCUAACAAAGUCUUUGGGGAAAUCUGUUUGGGACCAGACUGCCCAUUCACGCAUGGCCCAGCUUCUCCCCACUUCCCUGAGGGCAUUUUUGGAAGAUCGUGGCAGCCGGAUAACCCUUGCCAUUUCAGGAUUAGAAGGAGCUUCCCUGCCAGCAGUUAUGUAGAUCGGGUUACCCGGAAUCUCACUUACUCAGGCCUUAGAAUGCAUCACCAUUAUCCCUUGUCUUGAUGCGCCCCACGACCCUGAUUUUUACAAGGGUUUGUCCCUUCAAGCCCUCCUGUCAUGUCCCCAUCAUUCACCGAGAAAAAGAUAUUCCAGUGCCUUUUUACAGAUGUUCUGCUGCCUGCUCUGCGAUGAACUGUUUCUUGAGGAGCCACGGUCUCUUUCACGUGGAAACUGAGGUCCCUAACUGCUAAGAGAGUAGCCAUGCUUCCAGGCCCUCGAGGUGGGCAGACCUCUCCUGUGUAGACAGUGCCCAGUAAACAGGCCCCCAGGACGUUCUCCCUCUCCAGUAGAAUGUUUAACUGCCUCCUUUUUGGCUUGUUCUUCUCCCUGGGAGCAGGGCACAAGCCUAUAAAGUCACACUUUAACAUGUAGACUUCUUAACCCUGGACAGAUGCACAUGGUCUCUAUCAGGUUAAAAGAAAAAUAAUGAAAAUGGAAACGGAACUCAAAACAAAAAUCAAAUUUGGAAACCCCCACUUUUCUUGUGUGGUGUCAACCAGUUUGUGUCUUCUUGAACCAGUCUUUUUAUCCAGUUGGUUCUUUUAUUCCUUAAGCGACUCAUAAAAAAUAAGGUACCUGUCAGGUGGUUGCGGCACACGCCUUUAGUUCCAGGCUUCAGGAGGCAGAGGCAGACCCAUCUCUGUGAGGGCAAGGCCAGCCUGAUCUACAGAGCGAGUUCCAGGACA